UAGGGAAUCUUCCGCAAUGGGCGAAAGCCUGACGGAGCAACGCCGCGUGAGUGAAGAAGGAUUUCGGUUCGUAAAGCUCUGUUGUUAGGGAAGAAUGAUUGUGUAGUAACUAUACACAGUAGAGACGGUACCUAACCAGAAAGCCACGGCUAACUACGUGCCAGCAGCCGCGGUAAUACGUAGGUGGCAAGCGUUGUCCGGAAUUAUUGGGCGUAAAGCGCGCGCAGGUGGUUUAAUAAGUCUGAUGUGAAAGCCCACGGCUCAACCGUGGAGGGUCAUUGGAAACUGUUAAACUUGAGUGCAGGAGAGAAAAGUGGAAUUCCUAGUGUAGCGGUGAAAUGCGUAGAGAUUAGGAGGAACACCAGUGGCGAAGGCGGCUUUUUGGCCUGUAACUGACACUGAGGCGCGAAAGCGUGGGGGGCAAACAGGAUUAGAUACCCUGGUAGUCCACGCCGUAAACGAUGAGUGCUAAGUGUUGGUCUCAUAAGAGAUCAGUGCUGCAGCUAACGCAUUAAGCACUCCGCCUGGGGAGUACGACCGCAAGGUUG
rnacentral:rRNA from 1 species